rnacentral:tRNA from 1 species
GGUACCUCCUUUCAAGGAAGCGUUCUGAUACUGGAUUGGGUAACUGGUCUGGUUUGGAGUGCUCCAAAAAAAAGUCCUUUGCUGCAGGAUCGGCAAAGGCGCUCAGGUCUGACUGAGCUGCUCUUAGGAGCGGAAGCGCCGUCAACAUAUCCCUUUCUACGAUGAGAUCUGACCAUGUGGAUGGUUUCCACGGGUUGGACCGGGUUUGGGCUAGUAGCUCAGUUGGUUAGAGCACACGCUUGAUAAGCGUGGGGUCGGAGGUUCAAGUCCUCCCUGGCCCACCAGGUUUGGGGGCAUAGCUCAGCUGGGAGAGCACCUGCUUUGCAAGCAGGGGGUCGUCGGUUCGAACCCGUCUGCCUCCACCAGUUGAACUGGUCUGGUUAGGUUGGGAUUGUGGUGCUUUGGCGCCUGCCUGACCGUCUCAUCGUAAAAAGGGUUUGAAGAGAUCGGACCCUUUCCUGACAUGACCGCGGUGCGGCUGUCUGGAGAGAGUGUCUGGUAAUGUGUUCUUUGUCAGUGUGAAUCGGUUGGUGCGUAUCUGCGCGUGCCAGAAUUUCGGGUUGGUCUGACCCGUGAGCUGCGCAAGUGGUUCAUGAAAGAAAUUUUGGCGGAAACGUUCAGAUGCGGAAGAAAUGUGACGCGCUCGGAUGAGCUGUCGUGCCUGUUUCCUGAAAAGUCU